CAGCAGUCCUCAUUUACCCUCUCUACAGAUAAAAUUCCAUCAGGUCUGAUCCUGCCAAAGUUUGCUUGAGUACACCCAUAAAUUAACCCAAGAGCUUCCAGCUGGCUUCUCUCAACUUUAGAUGUCUGCACACAGCACAAACACAAGCAGGAUGAAAAAUGAAGCACUUCACUAUCGAUAAUGGAAGCAAAUGCCUGUCAUCACUCUUCUUCAGCAGCCAAUUUGUCUUACACAGAACGUGUCUCCCAGCCAGUUUGGAGAAUUCAAUGAACAGCACAGGUUGUCAGUCCACAAGAUCAAUGGAUGAGGUGAAGCAUCCAAGAAUCUCUUCACGCUAUAGAGCUUUCACAAUUAUAUCUCCCACAAAUCCUCCACUCAAGGCUGCAGCCAUAUUGAAAUUAUUUCCUGUUAGGCUUACUCAUUAAUGCAGUGUGCAUAUUUCAGACAUGGAGUUGCUUAGAACAGAGUGGUAAAAAAGACAGGUGUGACCCUUGUUAUAGUGGCAGUGAGUUUGAAAAUUAUAUUAAAAUUAUAUAUUAAUUCCA